rnacentral:rRNA from 1 species
UUGACCUCAAAUCAGGYAGGACUACCCGCUGAACUUAAGCAUAUCAA